ensembl:lncRNA
CAAACAAUAAAUGUCCGGGUUUGGGUAUGGGCAGACAGAAUCCUAGAUCAUAGAAAAGCAUUACUCCUCUGCUUUUGAGAGAAUGUCUGAAUUAUGGACCCGGAGGGGGGGGGGGGGGGGGGGGGGUAGUUUUGUAUAAAAGUUUGUCAUUUCCCCCAGUACUUUUUCGAGCAACGCUAUUUCUCUAUUAUACAUCCUGUGGCGGUGAAUGUUCUCUGUGGCUUCAUGGCCCAGCAUCCUGAGAGGGAUGCACUAGACUGCACUGCAUUUCCUCACUCUGUUAGUGACACAGUCUACAAGCAGGCUACUAGAGUGACAAGGAAAGAGAACUACACACAAGGGUUACUCAAAAUGGACAAAAUGCAGUUGACUUUUCCCUGUCUGACUGUCCUUUUGGGUCUCGUCCUGGCUUCUACCACCACAGCCCAGACACAGCCAGUCAAUCCCACUGUAACCCAGCCCACCUCAGCCUCCAACUCAGCCAACAAAACAGCCACUCCAAGACAUACCACGACUGUAGACAACAAUAAUUUAACAUUAUUCGCCAUAAACCCAAACCUUACUGAUCUCAUUUUUGAUAACGUCCCUAUAACCAAUUCCACCGGGCGGCCUAACCACACGGUAACCACACCACUGAAGACCAGUUCAGAUGCCUCUCCAGGACAGACAUCCUGGCCCUCACCAAUGGACGUCUCUACAUCAAAGCCCCCAGCAGAGGCCAGCAGCACAACUGAUAGCACUUCUGCUACUAGCACCACCAAGAAUAGAAGUUCGGCGGGAACUGCUCAACCAAAACCCUCUGCGAGAAAAUCGCCCCACAUUGGAUUGAUCAUCUUUAUUGUGAUCAUCAUCACUGCCUGUGUGCUUGGAGCAACAUGCUUCUUUACUAAGAAGACAUCAAGGAGGUACUCCGUAGAUCUCCGAGACAGGCAUGAGGAUCUGCCUCUGAGUGCUGCGGAUCACGACGCCGUGUUUGACAACUCCUCAACACAGAAGGGGAUGGACACCUUUACCGCCGUGGAUCUCAACAGCACCGAGGUCCUGGUUAAGGGAAGUGAGGGAGAAAGAGCAGAUAGUGAGAAAAUCUCUGACUACCCACCGCCUGCCAGCCCUGUGGACAAACCUGAUGAUGGGGCCCCUGGAGAUGUGGCCCCUGAGGCCCCAGUGGGGGAGACUGAUGACGAGAACACUGUCUCCAAUAAGACCUCAGUGGAGUCAGUGGAGGCCAACGAGAGCAACAACAACAACACCAGCAUCACCGCCAGGAUCGCUUCAACAACUCCAAGAGGACGGGCCAUGACCAGCAGCUUCUCUGAGGUUCCUCUGGACAACCCGGCCUAAAAGAGAUCCUCCUUUAUCUGCAGCCCCUUCACAACCACGGCUGAAGAAAAAACGUGAAGUAAAAGGUCAAGUCAUCGGAAACGCCUGAAAACAAAGUAUUUCUUUCAAUUCAUAUUAUAUAGGCUAGUUGAUUAAGUUGAUGUUUUCUCUGUCUAUAAACAAUGUAACUAUUGUUGUCUUUUAUAUCUCAGGAAUGGAAAUGCUAAUUUAAAUUUCACUUUUAUUAUUUACUUUUAUUAUACUGUAUUUUUGUUAUCGUAGCCUUCGGAGUUAAUACGCCUAAUUUUGAUUCAUUCAUUUAAAUUCUAAACAUAUGCCCUGCGUCACAGGGUCCAUGUCUCUUGUGUGUGUGUAUAUAGUAUAGAUAGGAAUGUAUGUCUUUAGGGAAUUAGUAGCAGUGUCAGAAUGUGUUCAUGUUGUUAUUCUGAUUUACUUAAGAUUUAUACCAUGGCAUUGUUAAAUACUGAUUUCUGAUUGGCUUGAAGGGCAUUCUAGAAAGCUGCCUUAUUUAUUUACAUAAACUCAUAUGAAGUCAUAUGAAAUGUGAGGUCAUGUAUGAACUUAAAAUUGUUAACAUCUCUGUUUCCAAGAUACAUUUUUGGGGAGAUCAGUUUCAAAUCUUUAUGCAGAUUUUUCACAUUCCCCCUCAAGCUAUAUUGUCAAUUCAUUUGUCUUUUUGAAAAAAAUGGCAAUACUUCCAUCGUCAUGUUCUGUAUAUUUUAUUUGCAUGGAUUUGAUUACAUCCUUUUUGGAUGUUUUUGAUGUAAGUAGCUAGAUAAAUGUAGUGAAUGUGUCACAAUAUGUCUGUUAUUGGGCGAUCUAAAUCCUACUCAGCGUGAAGCUUGUGUUUUAUUAAUGUUCUUCAACUUCCCCUCGUGUCAUCUGGGCCUCAUUCAGGAGCCAAACGUUGUGGAAACCCUUCAGAUAGAAAUGUCCUGAUUAGAGCUGACGUGAUUCCUGAUUCCGCAUCUCACAGAGGCAUGUCUAUUCUGCAAAAUAUAUUUCUGAACUUUUCACAAUGUUGAGCCCUGCUAAAUGCAGCACUGGUCCCCAACAUACAGUGAACUGGACCCUGCUAUUGCGAGGCCACCUGUUAAUAACCUCAUGAAUUAGAAACCAGGCUAUCAAGCCAAUCCACUGCAUCUCCAUCCAAGACGACAUCCUAAAAGGCUUAUGGGUGGAUUGCUCUGGAUGAUGCUAAUAGCAGCAGAUAUGCUAUAAUUUACACGUAGUAAAACACAACAACUAAAAAGAGAGGAAAGGGAGGCCAGGGCUAGAUACAGUCCAAGCCAAGAAGAUAGCAGUGUUGGUUCGUGAUCCAGGGGAAAUGAAAGUGAUACUGUGAUAUAGCCUAGCUAUGACGGAUAGGAAAGAAACAGCUGGGAGAGGUGGGAUACAGGAGAGAACUCCUAACUGUUUCCUUUACAGGAUAGUUUCUCCUCUUUCUACACACUCAUUCACAAACAUCCCAAUGUAGUGUGUGAAAUUCUACUUCCUUUUUUCAUGCAUCAAGUAGGAAAUCUUGACACAAAUAAAAUGUAAAAAGCUAAGAAGUCCAGAAGACGUUUCCAUAAAUAAUGCUCUGUCUAGAACAACUGUUUCUCUUGUUUGUACAUUUUAAUAAAUCUAUCAAAAACAUCUGCAGCAUCUAGUUUUGGUUUUUCUAAAAGCGUGGAGACAGCACUUCCUUCUCUCAGAUUUUUCAAGGGGGAAAAAAAAACAUUUCAAGAAACCUUUUUAAAAUAGCUGUCAUUGUAACAAGGUGUCCCUAGUUACAAUGUCAUUCU